rnacentral:rRNA from 1 species
GUCUACGGCCAUGCCACCCUGAACAAACCCGAUCCUGUCUGAUCUCGGAAGCUAAGCAGGGUUGGGCCUCGUUAGUACUUGGAUGGGAGACCACCUAGGAAGAUCAGGUGCUGUAGGUG